rnacentral:rRNA from 1 species
GUGUCAGCAGCCGCGGUAAUACGUAGGAUCCGAGCGUUAUCCGAAUUUACUGGGCGUAAAGCGUGUGUAGGCGGUUUGAUAAGUUGGAUGUGAAAGCUCCCGGCUCAACUGGGAGAGGCCGUUCAAAACUAUCAGACUAGAGGACGGUAGAGGGAGGUAGAAUUCCCGGUGUAGUAGUGAAAUGCGUAGAUAUCGGGAGGAAUACCAGUGGCGAAGGCGGCCUCCUGGACCGUUCCUGACGCUCAGACACGAAAGCUAGGGGAGCGAACGGGAUUAGAAACCCCCGUAGUCC